UCUAACCCUCACUUCUCUCGCUGACACUCUCCUCUUCUCCAUUUUAGCCGCUCGAACCCUCUACAGUCUCUACCCAUCUCUACGCCGCCGACCGCCGCUGCCAAAGAGUUCGCCGACGGGCUCCAGUUCGCCGACGGAACCCUCUACAGUCUACCCAUUUCUCUUCUUUCACUUCUCGCAACUCUUCAUUUUCAGCUUGUUCUGUUCUCGCCGACGAGCUCCAUGGAAGCAGUUGCUAUCUCCUUCAGAGCUUAAGGAUCGGUUUUCAGACAUCCGUUUUGUUCGGUUACCCAAUAUAAACUUGAUUCUUGGAAUUGCAAUUGUGAUGGAUCCCAUUAUUGCCUGACACUGUUCAAGCAUUGCUAUGUACUCGAGAUUGGAUUUUCGGUAAAAAAAGACCAAGACCGAACUGAUUUGGAGCUACUUACUGAAGAUGUGUUGGAUUUGACAUUGGAAGGAAAAAGCCAAACCAACUAAAGACUUUUUUAGUUUCAUGUAAUGAUUUGCUUUGAAUUUGUAAUAUUUUAGUUUCAAGUAACAUUGGAUUUAACCUAUUAUGAGAAUUGUAAUGAUUUUCUUUGAAUUUUUUUAUUUUCAAAGCAACAAUGAAAAAGAG